AAAUUGAAGAGUUUGAUCAUGGCUCAGAUUGAACGCUGGCGGCAGGCCUAACACAUGCAAGUCGAACGGUAACAGGAAGAAGCUUGCUUCUUUGCUGACGAGUGGCGGACGGGUGAGUAAUGUCUGGGAAACUGCCUGAUGGAGGGGGAUAACUACUGGAAACGGUAGCUAAUACCGCAUAACGUCGCAAGACCAAAGAGGGGGACCU
rnacentral:rRNA from 1 species